rnacentral:rRNA from 1 species
UACGUAGGCAGCAAGCGUUGUUCGGAAUUACUGGGUGUAAAGGGUUCGUAGGCGGUGUAGCAAGUCGGGAGUGAAAUCUCUGGGCUUAACCCAGAGGCUGCUUCCGAAACUGCUGUGCUUGAGUGUGGGAGAGGCGCGUGGAAUUGCAGGUGUAGCGGUGAAAUGCGUAGAUAUCUGCAGGAACACCCGUGGCGAAAGCGGCGCGCUGGACCACUACUGACGCUGAGGAACGAAAGCUAGGGGAGCAAACAGG